GACGAACGCUGGCGGCGUGCCUGAUACAUGCAAGUUGAGCGCUGAAGGUUGGUACUUGUACCAACUGGAUGAGCAGCGAACGGGUGAGUAACGCGUGGGGAAUCUGCCUUUGAGCGGGGGACAACAUUUGGAAACGAAUGCUAAUACCGCAUAAAAACUUUAAACACAAGUUUUAAGUUUGAAAGAUGCAAUUGCAUCACUCAAAGAUGAUCCCGCGUUGUAUUAGCUAGUUGGUGAGGUAAAGGCUCACCAAGGCGAUAAUACAUAGCCGACCUGAGAGGGUGAUCGGCCACAUUGGGACUGAGACACGGCCCAAACUCCUACGGGAGGCAGCAGUAGGGAAUCUUCGGCAAUGGACGAAAGUCUGACCGAGCAAAGCCGCGUGAGUGAAGAAGGUUUUCGGAUCGUAAAACUCUGUUGGUAGAGAAGAACGUUGGUGAGAGUGGAAAGCUCAUCAAGUGACGGUAACUACCCAGAAAGGGACGGCUAACUACGUG
rnacentral:rRNA from 1 species